GUGGAGGGCCUGGACUUCAAAAUUGGGGGGGAGAGC
rnacentral:tRNA from 1 species